GACGAACGCUGGCGGCGCGCUUAACACAUGCAAGUCGAACGGAGCGAACGGGAUGAAGCCUUCGGGCGGAAUUCCGUGAGCUUAGUGGCGAACGGGUGAGUAACGCGUGAGCAACCGGUCCCAAAGAGGGGGACAACUUUGAGAAAUCAAGGCUAAUACCGCGUAAGACCACACUGCCGCAUGGCAGAGGGGUCAAAGGAGAAAUCCGCUUUGGGGAGGGCUCGCGUCUGAUUAGGUAGUUGGUGAGGUAACGGCUCACCAAGCCGACGAUCAGUAGCCGUGCUGAGAGGCAGGCCGGCCACACUGGAACUGAGACACGGUCCAGACUCCUACGGGAGGCAGCAGUGGGGAAUCUUGGGCAAUGGGGGAAACCCUGACCCAGCGACGCCGCGUGAGGGAAGAAGGUCUUCGGAUUGUAAACCUUUGUGACAGGG
rnacentral:rRNA from 1 species